rnacentral:rRNA from 1 species
GUGGGGAAUAUUGCGCAAUGGGGGAAACCCUGACGCAGCAACGCCGCGUGAGUGAUGAAGGCUUUCGAGUCGUAAAACUCUGUCUUUGGGGACGAAUAAUGACGGUACCCAAGGAGGAAGCCCCGGCUAACUACGUGCCAGCAGCCGCGGUAAUACGUAGGGGGCAAGCGUUGUCCGGAAUCACUGGGCGUAAAGGGCGCGUAGGCGGUUUGUUAAGUCAGGUGUGAAAGUUUUCAGCUUAACUGGAAAAGUGCACUUGAAACUAACUUACUUGAGUACUGGAGAGGUAAGCGGAAUUCCUAGUGUAGCGGUGAAAUGCGUAGAUAUUAGGAAGAACACCAGUGGCGAAGGCGACUUUCUGGACGAAAACUGACGCUGAGGCGCGAAAGCCAGGGGAGCGAACGGGAUUAGAAACCCCAGUAGUCC